CUCUAUCCACUGAGCCAAACCGGUUUCGGCAAAAGACUCCUGAAAAAAGGGCCAUCUUACCUGGAUUCUUCUCCACUUGUUUUUUUAUUUUUGUUCUUCCCCCCACUUCUCACUGAGCAAGGAGAUCCAGUACCUUGUGUUAAAAGAUCCAUCUUAUGACCUAUGACCAUGAGGAUGCAAGGUACAGGCUAAGAAGGAUCCUGCAGAAAAUUCCAAAGGAUUCUGGCCUCCCCAGGCGCUUCUUUAGGUGUCUAUACUAUCCCUGAAUUCACUUCCAGACUUCCUAUUACAUGGAAAAAUAAAACUGAUUAUUGUUUUAA